rnacentral:lncRNA from 1 species
UGAAUUGAGAACCGAUAUUUUUCUGAUUUAAUUUUGUAAGCACCAACCACGGUCUUUGCUUACGAAAGAAACUGGUUAUUUCCUUGUCUUCUAUUAAACUCGAUGUUGAUUUCAGAACCCCGUGCUUUCUCAGGAAAAUUACGUCCGACUCCGUCUUCACCAUAUUUCUCAUGUACACUGCGUAGGUGGAAAUGUACAGUGCAUCAUUCUCUUCAUUUUCUGGCAAUCUAGGUAAAAAAUAUAUCUGUUCGUAAAACAACAAAUUCUCAAAUUCCGAGAAGCUAUUGUCAUUUAUCUCCAUCAAUCCGGCAUGCAUCUUAUUAGGUUUAAAAAACAUCUUGUAUGUGACUGUAGGGCCGAUACCUAACCAAUUUAUCCCGGAAUAAGCGAUUUCUGUUACUGUCGGGGUUUGUGUGAGACCAUGUAUCAGAGGACAAUUCGUUUUUACAGAUUUUGCUGUGUACUUAGUUUCUGCUUCCACCCAAAUGAUAACAAGAUAGAAAAUUCCGACAAACAAAAAAGAAAUCCCUUCCCAUAGAUAGUAUAAUAUACCACUUUCCUUGAGUAUUAUUAUUAUUAUCAACGAAGGUGUUGAUAGUAACAAUAUUUUUUUCCAGAGAAAAUCUUUGUCCACUUUCUCAUGAUAUCUGUAGGUGAAAAAGAUGGGGAGAAGCAACGUCGCUACCAAGAUGUAUAGUAAACGAUACAACCAUGGCUUCAUUCGUGAAGGAGCAUUUUUUAACUGAACCCGAUUCAACCGACACAUGUAGAGCAAAUGGAGAAGAUGGUCCAUAUUUUCAAUUUCUUCAUAUACACCGUCGAUACUCUUCUCUCCAUUGUGCAAGUAAUUGAUUGCCAGAUCGAAGAGAUUGAACCUUUGAUCUGGUUCCACCAAAUCUGUAUUUUGAUAUAUGAGUUUGAGAACAGGAAAAGGUAUCUGAUUCUCGAUAAGCAUCAAAUCAUGAUUAAGCUUAUGGAUAUCAAUUCCAGGAAAAGUCAACGACCCAUCAUUAUGUUUCAAUAAUAACUCCACAAGAAAACAACCAUCGAGCAGCAAUAUACCCAGAAAGAUAUCAUCAGAGAUUCCACAAACACCGAAAUCACAAUACUUAUUUUUUUCAGAAGAUAAGUCCACAUUUUUUACUACAUCCAUGUACCUUUCUAUGGUGUUGCUCUUGUUCCGAGCGAGUAGAUCAUUGAGGUAUUGCAACUUGACCUUUUGCAUCGAACGAAGCUCUUCUUUCCCGUAGUGGUAUGGUCCGAUGGAAAUGUAUUUGGGCGCGUAUUCCCGAUCAACGUUGCCAUUAGCUUCAACCAGCUCGGUAGGAAUUCUACAUAUGUUUACAUUUGGGUUUGGCCGUAGUAGGCUGGCCCAAUCGGUUGUAUCCGAAACAUUGAUUCUCAGCUCCAUUGCCAUGGCUCUUGUAUCUAUUGUGAACUGAAUUUGGAUGGUUGGAAUCGCUAUUGUCGCCUUACAUAUAUAUACCAUCCAAGUAUCCAACCUCACUACAUAAAGAGUGGUUAUGAUUUACAGCCAUUUUAAUUGACUUUGAAUAUUGAUUGUGAUUUACAAUCAUUUUAAUUGACUAAACCAAGUUUGCAGAUUGAAAUUGUUUUUUUUUAAGUAUUGAAAUUGACUUGGUCCAAAAAGUCAUGUUAGCAGUAGGAGUGAGAAUGAGACGGGUCACCUCGGUGCCCCGAUGGUAACCAACUUCGAGGCAGAUAUUCUGCUCCGUUUUCAUUUUUUCGCCACGUUGCCCCUGUCAUAUUCUGGGUCAGGUAUCGGCGUAGGGUGAAAUCCAGGCGGAUUGCCCCAAUUUUAAUAAAAAUAUAUAUUUUUUUAAUAUGAUUUAUUAUAUUAUAUUAGAUAUAGAUUAUUAAGAUUAUAAAUUUAUUAGAUUUUUAAGCUUAUUUUUUAUGUUUAUUUUAGAUUUACUCUUUAAUUUUUAAAAAUUAAGGUAAAAUGUUUACCAAUUUUACAUUUUAGGCUAACUAUUUUCUUUAUAUAUAUAUAUAUUUUUUUUUUAUAAUUUGUAUUUUAUAAUUUUAUAUUUUUUUAAUUCGGACCCGUUGGGUCGAUGCCGGGUUCAGAGUAUGGGUCAAUGAGUGUGACCCGCCUCGUUCCGCGCCCAGGUCAGGUCCCGGUCUACCUGAUCGGGGCGGGACUGCCCGGUGAUUUAGGUUGAUAAAAUAAUGUUGGAUUUAGGUAUCAUCUAAUAUAUUCUAAUAAAUUUUUUAUACUAAUUUUUAAAAGUAAAAACAAAAAGUAAAUCUAAAAUGGACAUAAAGUUUAAAAACUAAGACUUAAGCUUAAAAAUGUAAUAAAUUUUUAAUCUUUUUAAUCCUAUAUCUAAUAUAAUAUAAUUUAAUUUAUUAAAAAAAAUUUAAAAUUAUUAUUUUUAAAACCGAGGUGACCCGUCCAGAUUUUGCCCUGCCCUAAGACCCAUCCCGGAAAAUGACUGGAGCAACGAGGCAAAAAUAAAAAACAGGACCCGGUUACAACCGGGAGAGGACCCGUUCUCACCCUACUCAUGACAUAUUUUAUUUAAGAUACCUUUUAUCUCACCGUUAAUACACAUCUAUCUGCUUUAAAAAAAUACACAUUUAUCGGUUGUUCGUUUUUCUAUUUUGAGGUAGUUAAGACUCUAAAUGCUUUCGAAUUUGAAUAUGUUUAUUCGAAUUUUCGAAUUUCGGAUGCGGAUUUGUAUACCAAAAAUGAUAUUCGAAAAUUAUCCGAACAGAUUCAGAUAUCUGCAAUAUCCACCGUUAAAAUCUGAAUUCAGUUGAUAAUUUCGAAUGCGGAUAUCUGCAAUAUCCGAUCGUUAAAAUUCAAAUUCAUUUAAUAAUUCCGGAUUCGAAUUUUCUUAUCCAGAUAUUAUUCCAUAAACGAAUUCGGAUAUCCGAGCCGAAUCAGUCGAUACACAGAUCUAAUUAUGACAAAUUACGUUUAGUGAAUUUGAUUAAUCAAAGAGGAAUUAAUGGAAUUUUUAUGGUAUAAGUGCAAUUUUUACUCUUCGUCAAGAACAAACGAGAUUAAAAAAAAUUCCAACAUAUAUUUUUAAAAUUAAAAUUUUACACAAAAAAACCUUGUAAAAAAAUUAAUAGAAAAAAAAAUGAUAGAAAAAAACAUUCAAAAUUGUUUAGAAGAAUAAUCUUAUUAACUUAUUCUGUUUUUCGAUUUUUGAUCUUAACAUUUUUCCUUUCAAAGACCUCUUUAAGAAUUCCCUUACUUUUCAUUAUCAAAUACAAUUAAUUAUAAUGGGAAAUAUUCAGGUGGGUCAUCUAUCUCGGUCGUGUGCCAAAAAAAUCUUCAACACACUCGUCAUCCAUCGAUUUCAAUUACGUUAUGCAUAUAAAACUAACUUGCAUGACAUUGGGUGAGGAUCUCGAAACCAUCUGAUAUCACUUGUAGUACAUCACUUGUGUUUUACUUUAAUUAUAAAAACGGA